rnacentral:rRNA from 1 species
ACGAACGCUGGCGGCGUGCUUAACCCAUGCCAGUCGAACGGAAAGGCCCUGCUUUUGUGGGGUGCUCGAGUGGCGAACGGGUGAGUAACACGUGAGUAACCUGCCCUUGACUUUGGGAUAACUUCAGGAAACUGGGGCUAAUACCGGAUAGGAGCUCCUGCUGCAUGGUGGGGGUUGGAAAGUUUCGGCGGUUGGGGAUGGACUCGCGGCUUAUCAGCUUGUUGGUGGGGUAGUGGCUUACCAAGGCUUUGACGGGUAGCCGGCCUGAGAGGGUGACCGGCCACAUUGGGACUGAGAUACGGCCCAGACUCCUACGGGAGGCAGCAGUGGGGAAUAUUGCACAAUGGGCGGAAGCCUGAUGCAGCAACGCCGCGUGCGGGAUGAAGGCCUUCGGGUUGUAAACCGCUUUCGCCUGUGACGAAGCGUGAGUGACGGUAAUGGGUAAAGAAGCACCGGCUAACUACGUG